UCUCCGUAGGUGAACCUGCGGAGGGAUCAUUAAUGUGUUUUAUUUUAUAGAGAAACUGUUAAGUUUAUUUUGUAUUAUUUUUGUAGGGUUUAUUUUGUAAUCUUUUAGAAUGUCAUUAGAUGAAAAUUAGAUAGAUGGCUUGUUUAUUUAUAAAAUUUAUUAGAUGAUUUGUUUGUUUGUUUUAAUAUUUUUUUAAUCAUUUAACCAAACAUAGUAUCAACUCUAUGCUCUGGAUAUCUUGGUUCUCGCAGCGAUGAAGAACGUAGCAGAUCGGAUGAG
rnacentral:misc_RNA from 1 species